CGGUCGGUAUUCCAAUGUAAGAUACCCUGAUACAAGGGAGACGCGGGUUCGAAUCCCGCCCGACCGU
rnacentral:tRNA from 1 species